GAUGAACGCUGGCGGCGUGCCUAAUACAUGCAAGUCGAGCGAACAGACGAGGAGCUUGCUCCUCUGACGUUAGCGGCGGACGGGUGAGUAACACGUGGAUAACCUACCUAUAAGCCUGGGAUAACUUCGGGAAACCGGAGCUAAUACCGGAUAAUAUAUUGAACCGCAUGGUUCAAUAGUGAAAGACGGUUUUGCUGUAACUUAUAGAUGGAUCCGCGCCGCAUUAGCUAGUUGGUAAGGUAACGGCUUACCAAGGCAACGAUGCGUAGCCGACCUGAGAGGGUGAUCGGCCACACUGGAACUGAGACACGGUCCAGACUCCUACGGGAGGCAGCAGUAGGGAAUCUUCCGCAAUGGGCGAAAGCCUGACGGAGCAACGCCGCGUGAGUGAUGAAGGUCUUCGGAUCGUAAAACUCUGUUAUUAGGGAAGAACAAAUGUGUAAGUAACUAUGCACGUCUUGACGGUACCUAAUCAGAAAGCCACGGCUAACUACGUG
rnacentral:rRNA from 1 species